rnacentral:rRNA from 1 species
UUGCAAGUCUGGUGCCAGCAGCCGCGGUAAUUCCAGCUCCAAGAGCGUAUAUUAAAGUUGUUGCAGUUAAAAAGCUCGUAGUUGAACUUUGGGCUUGGCUGGCCGGUCCGUUUUUUAACGAGUACUGGUUUUCAGCCGAGCCUUUCCUCCUGGUUUCUGUGUAGUUGGGCUUGUCUCAGCUGCAUAUGAUCCAGGACUAUUACUUUGAAAAAAUUAGAGUGUUCAAAGCAGGCGUUUAGCUCGAAUAUAUUAGCAUGGAAUAAUGAAAUAGGACGUAUGGUUCUAUUUUGUUGGUUUCUAGGACCAUCGUAAUGAUUAAUAGGGACGGUCGGGGGCAUCAGUAUUCAAUUGUCAGAGGUGAAAUUCUUGGAUUUAUUGAAGACUAACUACUGCGAAAGAUUUUUGCCAAAAUUG